rnacentral:rRNA from 1 species
AUUGAACGCUGGCGGCAUGCUUUACACAUGCAAGUCGAACGGCAGCGCGGGCUUCGGCCUGGCGGCGAGUGGCGAACGGGUGAGUAAUGCAUCGGAACGUGCCCAGUAGUGGGGGAUAGCCCGGCGAAAGCCGGAUUAAUACCGCAUACGACCUGAGGGUGAAAGCGGGGGACCGAAAGGCCUCGCGCUAUUGGAGCGGCCGAUGUCGGAUUAGCUAGUUGGUGGGGUAAAGGCUUACCAAGGCGACGAUCCGUAGCUGGUCCGAGAGGACGACCAGCCACACUGGGACUGAGACACGGCCCAGACUCCUACGGGAGGCAGCAGUGGGGAAUUUUGGACAAUGGGGCAACCCUGAUCCAGCCAUGCCGCGUGCGGGAAGAAGGCCUUCGGGUUGUAAACCGCUUUUGUUCGGGAAGAAAUCCUCUGGGCUAAUACCCCGGGGGGAUGACGGUACCGGAAGAAUAAGCACCGGCUAACUACGUG